UCAGAAAACUGCUCCCACAUUUUCUCUGACAAGAGAAAAUCUGCAGAUGCUGAAAUGCUGAAGGAACUCAGCAGGCCAGGCAGAACCUAUUGAAAAGAGUACAGUUGAAAUGUCGACUGUACUCUUUUCCAUAUUCCGUAGAUGCUGCCUGGCAUUAAGCAUUUUGUGUGUGUGUAGCCUGAAUUUUCUCUUUUUGUUCUCAUAACAAAGUAGGGUCUUCCUUUCUGUUUUAUUUCCCUUGCACAAGAUUUCUGUAAAUAUUUUGUCAAAGUUGCAUCCGAGGAUUGGAGCAGGCGUGGCGAUCUGUUACCUCACGCAAUUUUGUUUUGGAAAUUACAUUCACAAGUAGUACAUGAGUAUCAGCACAGGGAAUCUUUCUCACUUUUUUUUUUAACAUGAUGAAAGAUGCCUUAGUUACUUCAGUAGAACCAAGCUUGGACUACGUUUACCUCCUCUGUAACUGCCGAGAAGCUCAACUCUAAUGUGAGGAUGUGAAAACAGAAAAGUACUAAAUUUUCUCAUGGAUUUAGGUGAUGGACAUCAACCUUCACGGAACGUGGGCCAGGUUAGAUGUGGCACAGUUUCAACGGCUGCAACCAUUCUGAUGGAGACAAAAUGUAGAGAAGGAGAGAGUUAAGUUUAAGGCAGAGAAUACAGAAGCCUGAAAACACAUACCACCAACUUCAAGGACAGCUUGUACUCCAUUGUUAUAAGAUUAUUGAAUGGACCUCUUGCAUGAUAUGAUGGACAUUUGACCUCACAAUCUAUCUCAUUAUGGCCUUGAACCUUAUUGCCUGCCCGCAUUGCACUUUCUCUAUUCUCAGCAUUAAAAAUAUGAUAUGAUGAUGAACAAUAUGAACAAUGGGGACUGGAAGAGGAGCACAGAAUUAAAACAUAAGUAAGGCCAAUGUGUGCUGGGUAUUUAACAUUUCCGUUAUAUCUGAGUAAUAUUAUAGUUUGAUUAAGCGUUCUUUGUUUAAGUAAUUCAUUACCCCAGUUUUCCCAUUCUUACCUGCUUCAGAAUGAACUUGCUCUUGCCGAGGGAGUUGCCUUGUGUGGGGAUUGAGGGUUGUUGUACCAUCCAAGCUGAGCGCUGAAGUGUUGGAGAAGUUACAUGCUGGUCAUCUAGACAUGGUCAAAGUUAAGGUGGUGGCUCGAAGCUUUUCCUGGGAUAGAUCAGCAGAUCUAAUUUGAGAUGCAUUCUAUAUUAAGUUGGAGUAUAUAGCUAAGCAGGGAGGAGUGUUGUGUACUUACUAUUUCAGUAAUAUUUGAGUAAUAUUGUAAACAUAUUGUUUGAUUAAGCAUUCUUUGUUUAAAUAAGUUAUUACUGGUUAUACGUAAAAGUAUGUGAAUGGCACACAUCAUCACGCCAAUACAUCAUAUAUGCGUGCCUUGCUAAAGUAAAAAUGAAACUAAGAGUACAUGAGCUCCUGGUCUUCCUGUGUUUUUCAUUCAAUUAGUUCUAUGUUUUGCAGUUACAACACACAACAACUUAGCCCAUCAAGUCUUUGGUGACCCUGUAAAGGGCAUUGCAGUGGUCCCACACACACUGGCCUUUCAUCGUGGCUCUGCAGCUUUAUCAUUUUUGUGACAGGUAAGAGGAACAUCUUGAAAAAAAGAGGUAAUAAUGGAGAAAAAUCAAUAUUCCUAGGUAUGCAACACAUGAAGAAAAUAAGGUGUCCCUCAGCCACGAAGAACAGCCCGCUGAAGCAAUGUGACUUACUCCAGAGGGAAGAUGGUUUGGGCUCAGGAUUAACAGCAGAAUAAGGCGGGAAUAUGAGGUGUGAGAGCCAGGAUCAAGAGAGCUGGCUCCCUACUGAUGGAUGGUGGCAAAGGGUUGUGUGUGCAGACCUCCUGAGCUGUUUCAGUGCAUCCAGUCAGUGGUGCUCAUGGUGCUCACCACUGAACAGGACUGUUAGCCCCAGUGCCAUGAACCUGACCUUACCAAUUCUCUUCUAGUGAUGAGAAGCAAAUAGAAUGAGUUGCUGCCAUUCAAAAAUGCGUAUUUAUAUCUGAACCAUAUGGUGUAGGAAAGUGAAUGGUGAAAGAAUCAAUGAGGAGACAACAAACAGUUCGGGUCUAGAAUACAGUGUCUGAGUAGUUAGAGUCAUAGAAACAGUCCCUCUGGCACAUUACUUCUGCGACAACCUUUCAGCUCAUUUACACCCAUCCCACAUUAGGACAAUGCCCUACUAUGCCAUGCCUACUUAAUUAGUUUCAUUCAUAUAUCUUAGAGAGAAGUUUUUUGUCUGUCUUGGAGAGCAGUUUACCAAGAGAUACAAUGCUGUUGCUGUUGCUCAGGGAAGAUCUCUUAGUCCCCUACUCUUAUCAUUGUACGUGCUCCCCUUAGGAUACAUCGUUUCAGUGCAUGAACUUGAUUUCCACAGUUAUGUAGAUGACGCACAAUUGUACAUCCCAGUUGAGCUUGAUAACGCCCAUGCUGAGGCAGAGCUCUGCAUGGAUUCCUUAAAGGAAAAUCCUGCCUGACAUCUCUAUUACAAUUUUUUGAGGAAAUUACCAGUAGGCUUGAUGAGAGAUGCAGUGGAUGUUGUACAUUUGGAUUUUCAGAAGGCCUUUGACAAGGUGCCGCAUAUGAGGCUGCUAAACAAGAUAAGAGCCCAUGGAAUUACAGGAAAGUUACAUACAUGGAUAGAGUGUUGGCUGAUUGGCAGGAAACAGAGAGUGGGAAUAAAGGGAUCCUAUUCUGGUUGGCUGCCGGUUACCAGUGGCGUUCCACAGGGGUCUGUAUUGGGGCCGUUUCUUUUUACAUUGUACAUCAACGAUUUGGAUUAUGGAACAGAUGGCUUUGUGGCUAAGUUUGCUGACGAUACGAAGAUAGGUGGGAGGGGCCAGUAGCGCUGAGGAAACAGAGAGUCUGCAGAGAGACUUGGAUAGAUUGGAAGAAUAGGCAAAGAAGUGGCAAAUUAAAUACAAUGUUGGAAAGUGUAUGGUUAUGCACUUUGGCAGAAGAAAUAAACGGGCAGACUAUUACUUAAAUGGAGAAAGAAUUCAAAGUUCAGAGAUGCAACGGGACUUGGGUGUCCUCAUACAGGAUACGCUUAAGGUUAACCUCCAGGUUGAGUCAGUGGUGAAGAAGGUGAAUGCAAUGUUGGUAUUCAUUUCUAGAGGAAUAGAGUAUAGGAGCAGGGAUGUGAUGUUGAGGCUCUAUAAGGCGCUGGUGAGACCUCACUUGGAGUACUGUGGGCAGUUUUGGUCUCCUUAUUUAAGAAAGGAUGUGCUGACGUUGGAGAGGGUACAGAUAAGAUUCACUAGAAUGAUUCCGGGAAUGAGAGGGUUAUAUGAGAAACGUUUGUCCGCUCUUGGACUGUAUUCCUUGGAGUUUAGAAGAAUGAGGGGAGACCUCAUAGAAACAUUUUGAAUGUUGAAAGGCAUGGACAGAGUGGAUGUGGCAAAGUUGUUUCCCAUGAUGGGGGAAUCUAGUACGAGAGGGCAUGACUUAAGGAUUGAAGGGCGCCCAUUCAGAACAGAAAUGCAAAGAAAUUUUUUUAGCCAGAGGGUGGUGAAUCUAUGGAAUUUGUUGCCACGGGAGGCAGUGGAGGCCAAGUCAUUGGGUGUAUUUAAGGCAGAGAUUGAUAGGUAUCUGAGUAGCCAGGGGAUCAAAGGUUAUGGUGAGAAGGCAGGGGAGUGAGACGAAAUGGGAGAAUGGAUCAGCUCAUAAUAAAAUGGCGGAGCAGACUCGAUGGGCCGAAUGGCCGGCUUCUGCUCCUUUGUCUUAUGGUCUUAUCUUCUCUGACAUCAGGUAUGGCUGCAAUAAACAAAUGCAAUAAUUUCUUAAAAGUAAAUGAAGAUAAAACUGCUAUACUUUUGGUUGGUCCCAAAGCCAAAAGAGAUAAACUUAGGAACUUUGCUCUUCUUGUAAAAUCAGAAGUAACAGGCCUGGGUGUUAUCCUUGAUUCAGAUUUGAAUUUUAAAUCCCACAUAAAGAAAGUGACAAGAGCAGCAUUUCUACACAAGAAAUAUUGCAAAGGUAUCUCUGUUUCUGUCACGUAAUGAUGCUGAAAACUAAUUCAUGCCUUUAAAUUGAAUAGACUAGGUUACUGCAAUACACUGUUUAUUUGCUUUCCGAAGCAAUCCAUUGACAAGCUUCAAUUCAUUCUGAACAUGGCUGCUAAAUUUUUAACUAAAGCCAGGAUGAGGGAGCAUAUCACUCCCAUCCUGGCUACUCUGCAUUAGCUUCCUGUAUCUUUUAGAAUUGAUUUUAAAUGUCUCAUAUUUACUUUUAAAGCUCUUAAUGGCCUGAGACCAGACUACAUCACAGAACCAUUUUCGUUUUAUAAUCCUGCUCAAGCUCUCAGAUCUUCAUCUGCUGGUCUCUUAAAUUUAAAUUUAAACAAUCUCCCUCAAAAGAUAAUUGGAAGGUCAGCUUUUUUUUGAACCAUACUCCUGAAGUGUGGAAUUCAAUCCUUAAAACUAUGAGGGAUACAGACUCAGCUAACACUAUUAAACACCAGCUAAAGACCUUGCUUUUAAUUAGUAUCUUCUUGUCUUUUAUUUUUUUUUCCAUGGUUGUACUUUUAGCCCAUUGUAAAGCACUUUGAGCUGCAUCAUCUGUUUGAAAAGUGCUCUAUAAAUAAAAGUCUUUGUGAGUAUUACUUUAGUGCCUAUAUAACUGCUUCUUCACUGACUGUAUCUAACUUCAUCAUCUCGUCUAACAACAUAUUCCAAAAACCAGUACUCCCUGUGUCAAACUGAUCUCAUUGCAAUCUCCCAAGCACCUACACCCAUUUGUUCUUAAUACCCCAGCCAUGCGAAGAAGAUUCUAUCUACCCUCUUUAUGCCACUCAUUAGGUCGCUCAUCAGCCUCGCUCGCUCCAGGGAAAACAAGCCCAACCUCUGCAAUUUCUCCCUGUAUCUAAAGUCUUCUACGCCAAUCAACAACACACAUCAAAAUUGCUGGUGAACGCAGCAGGCCAAGCAGCAUCUAUAGGAAGAGGCGCAGUCGACG